AUAUCUCUCUGUACGGGAAGGAUGAGAGGCUUCGACUAAGGUUCGAUUCGAGCGAAAGCGAGAAAGCGUUGCCGCAGGCAACGACCCGAAGGGCGAAGCGCGCAGCGCUGAGUCAUCCUUCCCCCACCACCA
rnacentral:sRNA from 1 species